CCUACGGGAGACAGCAGUAGGGAAUAUUGCUCAAUGGGCGAAACCCUGAAGCAGCCACGCCGCGUGGAGGAUGAAGGUUUUCGGAUUGUAAACUCCUUUUGUUAGAGAAGAUAAUGACGGUAUCUAACGAAUAAGCACUGGCUAACUCCGUGCCAGCAGCCGCGGUAAUACGGCGGGUGCAAGCGUUAAUCGGAAUCACUGGGCGUAAAGAGCACGUAGGCGGGAUAGCAAGUCAGAUGUGAAAUCCUAUGGCUUAACCAUAGAACUGCAUUUGAAACUGUUAUUCUAGAGUAUGGGAGAGGUAGGUGGAAUUCUUGGUGUAGGGGUAAAAUGCGUAGAGAUCAAGAGGAAUACUGAUUGCGAAGGCGGCCUGCUAGAACAUAACUGACGCUGAUGCGCGAAAGCGUGGGGAGCAAACAGGAUUAGAUACCCGAGUAGUC
rnacentral:rRNA from 1 species